AUUUUUUUGGCAUUUUGCACGUGGAAACGAAAUACGGUAUUCGAGAUGCUGCGACCCAGCUCAUACGGCUGAGUCGCUGACAAGAUUACGGACCUGUUACCGCGUAAGCAGCAGACACAUCCGGAAUACAGAUUACAGGAAAGAAAGUAACCUAUUUUGCCGUUCAAAACCCGCCAGACUCUCUCUCUCUCUCUCUCUCUGUGAUGCGCCGGAGCUUCGAGUCACAUGGCGGUGUCUUCAAUAGCACGAUCCCCUGUAAUCCCUAUUGCCCGCCACAUCAUCUGCAGACCCUCGCCGUCCGAUCACCUGUCGAAAACGAGCGUCACAAUUCACGGGCAUUAUCCAAAACGCUGUCGUCAUGUCCCUCUUCUGGCUUCUCUUCACGGGGACACCACCAGAAACAACGACAGGAACGCCCAGGCCCUCGAGUUGCAGAGGGUCCUAGAUGACUUCCCGUACGACGUCAUCCCCAAUGACCCGACUAUGCUUCCAACGCCUUUAUCUUCAACGCAAUUAUCUAAUUCGGUAUCCGAUGGGUCCCGUAUUCGGGUUGCUUAUCAGGGAGUUCCCGGCGCGUACAGCGAAUCCGCUGCUGAGAAAGCGUACCCCAAUUGCGAAGCGGUGCCCUGCGAACAAUUCGACACUGCUUUUGAGGCUGUUGAAAAGUGGCUUGUGGACAGAGCAGUUUUACCAAUUGAAAAUUCUUUAGGUGGGAGCAUUCACAGAAAUUAUGAUCUUUUACUGCGGCACAGGUUGCAUAUAGUAGGUGAAGUUAAAUUUGCAGUUCGCCAUUGCUUAUUGGCUAAUCAUGGUGUUGAAGUUGAAGACCUGAAAAGGGUUCUUAGUCAUCCCCAGGCUCUUUCUCAGUGUGAGGACACAUUAUCAAGGUUGGGAUUGGUCAAGGAAGCAGUUGACGACACUGCUGGAGCUGCAAAGCAUAUUGCAUCAUACAAACUAAAAGAUGCAGGAGCUGUGGCUAGCACUACCGCUGCCAUGAUAUAUGGGUUGAAUAUACUUGCUCAAGAUAUUCAGGAUGAUUCUGAUAAUGUUACUCGAUUUCUAAUGCUAGCAAGGGAACCCAUAAUUCCAGGCAUUGAUAGGCCAUUUAAGACAAGCAUCGUUUUCUCACUAGAGGAGGGUCCAGGAGUUCUUUUCAAGGCACUUGCUGUUUUUGCUUUGCGUCAAAUCAACCUUACUAAGAUUGAAAGUCGUCCCCUGCGGAAGCAGCUGUUGGGAGCAUCAGACGAUGGCACUAAUGGGUAUCCAAAAUACUUUGACUAUCUUUUCUAUGUGGACUUUGAAGCAUCAAUGGCUGAUGAGAAAGCACAGAAUGCCCUAAGGCAUCUAAAGGAGUUUGCUACCUACUUGCGAGUGCUUGGAAGUUAUCCUGUGGAUACUAGCAUGAUAUAAAUGACCUUUAAAUGUGUCUCGUACUACCAAAAAGUUGUCAUGUACACCUCCAUUCAUCUUGUCGACCAAAUAUUAAUGGAUGGUGCUUAUCGUAGCUAUAAUGAUGAAGGAAGCCCUAGCAACAUAUGCGUUGUACUCCAAAACCGCCCAGCAUACAUGUGGCACCUGAUGCUCAUGGCCCCUGGAGAGAUAUAUGGUUUUAUACAAACGUGGUUUCCUUCACAGCUUUUGUUUGUCUCUGCCCUCAAAUUUCAGGAAAUUGAUUAAAUUUCUUCUCAGAAGAGCUCAUAUCUUUUCAUCGAUGAAGUGGAUCACUGCCACUACAGAACUUGGUUCUUACCCAAUUUUGUAGUUUUUUCUCGAUAUAACCAUGUAGUUGCCAGUUUCAGUUGAGGUAUUUUUAAUAAUUCUAUUGUAUCCAUGCUUUUUAAAUCAAAUAUAUUUCUAUAGAUUCA